rnacentral:rRNA from 1 species
UGCGUAGGGACCAAGCGUUGUUCGGAUUUACUGGGCGUAAAGGGCGCGUAGGCGGCAAAUUAAGUCAGCUGUGAAAUCUCCGAGCUUAACUCGGAACUGUCAGCUGAUACUGAUGUGCUAGAGUGCGGAAGGGGCAAUCGGAAUUCUUGGUGUAGUGGUGAAAUGCGUAGAUAUCAAGAGGAACACCUGAGGUGAAGACGGGUUGCUGGGCCGACACUGACGCUGAUGCGCGAAAGCCAGGGGAGCGAACGGG